AUACGUAGGUGGCAAGCGUUGUCCGGAAUUAUUGGGCGUAAAGCGCGCGCAGGUGGUUCCUUAAGUCUGAUGUGAAAGCCCCCGGCUCAACCGGGGAGGGUCAUUGGAAACUGGGGAACUUGAGUGCAGAAGAGGAUAGUGGAAUUCCAAGUGUAGCGGUGAAAUGCGUAGAGAUUUGGAGGAACACCAGUGGCGAAGGCGACUGUCUGGGCUGUAACGGACACUGAGGCGCGAAAGCGUGGGGAGCAAACAGGAUUAGAUACCCUGGUAGUCCACGCCGUAAACGAUGAGUGCUAAGUGUUGGGGGGUUUCCGCCCCUCAGUGCUGCAGCUAACGCAUUAAGCACUCCGCCUGGGGAGUACGGUCGCAAGACUGAAACUCAAAUGAAUUGUCGGGG
rnacentral:rRNA from 1 species